rnacentral:rRNA from 1 species
GAUGAACGCUGGCGGCGUGCCUAAUACAUGCAAGUAGAACGCUGAAGGAGGAGCUUGCUCUUCUGGAUGAGUUGCGAACGGGUGAGUAACGCGUAGGUAACCUGCCUGGUAGCGGGGGAUAACUAUUGGAAACGAUAGCUAAUACCGCAUGACAACAGUUAUUGCAUGAUAACUGUUUAAAAGGGGCAACUGCUCCACUACCAGAUGGACCUGCGUUGUAUUAGCUAGUUGGUGAGGUAACGGCUCACCAAGGCGACGAUACAUAGCCGACCUGAGAGGGGGAUCGGCCACACUGGGACUGAGACACGGCCCAGACUCCUACGGGAGGCAGCAGUAGGGAAUCGUCGGCAAUGGACGGAAGGCUGACCGAGCAACGCCGCGUGAGUGAAGAAGGUUGUCGGAUCGUAAAGCUCUGUUGUAAGAGAAGAACGAGUGUGAGAGUGGAAAGUUCACACUGUGACGGUAUCUGACCAGAAAGGGACGGCUAACUACGUG